rnacentral:tRNA from 1 species
GGGGCUAUAGCUCAGCUGGGAGAGCGCCUGCUUUGCACGCAGGAGGUCUGUGAGUCCCGCAUAGCUCCACCA